rnacentral:rRNA from 1 species
UGCCAGCCGCCGCGGUAAUACGGAGGGGGCUAGCGUUGUUCGGAAUUACUGGGCGUAAAGCGCGCGUAGGCGGACUUUCAAGUCAGGGGUGAAAUCCCGAGGCUCAACCUCGGAACUGCCUUUGAUACUGUAAGUCUUGAGUCCGAGAGAGGUGAGUGGAAUUCCUAGUGUAGAGGUGAAAUUCGUAGAUAUUGGGAAGAACACCAGUGGCGAAGGCGGCUUUCUGGACAGUGACUGACGCUGAGGCGCGAAAGCGUGGGUAGCAAACAGGAUUAGAUA